UAAAGGAAUUGCAGGAUUGAAAUGUCUGCAGCGUUUUAGUCUUGUAAAUUCCUUUGGG
rnacentral:pre_miRNA from 1 species